CCCUUAGACACUCUAGGUGGCACGCGCGCUACAAUGGGUGGAAGAACGUGUUACUGCCUCCGAAAGGAGGGGUGAAUCACGAAUUCUUGCCCGUGAAUGGGAUAGUUUGUUGCAAUUUUCGGACUUGAACUAGGAAUCCCUUGUAAACAUGCUCAAGAAUAGCGUGUUGAAUACGUCCCUGCCGUUUGUACACACCGCCCGUCGUUUCUUCCGACUGAUACUCAUUGUGAGUUGCAAGGACCCUUUAUUGGGAAAUUGCUGCAAAUGCUUUGUAUUGGAGGAAGAAAAAGUCGUAACA
rnacentral:rRNA from 1 species